GUCACUUUUGUCAAAUAAAGCAUGUAUUUACAAUACUCAAACAUUUAAAGUUACUGAAAAAUAUUUAACUCUUUUGGGUUUGGGGUUUAUGCUUCUCUUUAAUGUUUAUAUAAUUUAAGUUUUGACAAUAGAAAAGCUAGGCUGAAAGGGGAAACAAUCCAACUGCACACACAAAAGAGUGCCUAGAUAGAAGACGGACAGCAUAGGAGAUUGAGCAUCUGUGGAUCAGGGAACAGAGUUAUCUGCAGCUCCUCGAAGAGAAAUGAGACGUAUGGCAUGUUUGCCCUCAAACCACAAGAAGUGCCCUUAAUAUCUAAGGCUCCAGAGAAGAAAAGCAGGCUGUGAUGAGUGGGGCUUGGAGCUUGGCUUCCCCAUCAACGAGCCAGGAGAUUGGAUCCAGGAGUGAGGACACUGGAUGAGCACUUCCCACUUAGCAAGAAACCAAAUUAUCAGUUCCUCUUCCCAGCAUGUUUCAAAGGGCUAGAGAAAUUCUGAACAACACAAUUUCCAUGGGAAGAGACAAGAAGCAAUGGAAGGAAGGAAAAGCAGGUGAGAGGGAGGCGUGCAGACAGGAUUUUGACAGGUGCUAUGCCUUAAAGAAAAAAGAAUACAUCAGUACCCAAAUUUGGUGCAGUUUAUUGAUACAGUUGAGGCUUAUUCAAGGAUCUGAUGUAGUCCUGAGUCAGACCAAGCCAGAUCCUUCAUCGAAGCACCUCGGGUUUGUCCUGUCUGUACAGUGUACACAGCACUUCCAGAUACAUCCUCAUUGGACUCUCAUCAUUACCCCCAGAAGCAGAAUGUGGCAGCUAUCAAGAUUCCCUUUUAAAGAUGAAAUUUAGUGCCAUGGGUCUCCAAUCUUUUAUUCCACCUGGGAGAGGGCAAAGAGGCACUUCUAAAUUUUGUGGCAGGGGCAAAAACCAAGGGGAGAAGUUGGCAUUAAGCACGUACAACAUCUUUUCUCUCUAAUGACCUGGAAACAUUCAAAAAAGUAAGUAGAUAUAUUUCAAAGGAAAAAUUCUCCCUUUAGGGUAAUAUUGAUCAUUU
rnacentral:lncRNA from 1 species